rnacentral:rRNA from 1 species
UGAGGAAUAUUGGUCAAUGGAGGCAAGUCUGAACCAGCCACGUCGCGUGAAGGAUGACGGCCCUACGGGUUGUAAACUUAUUUUGUAAGGGAAUAAAGUGUGUUACGUGUAGCAUUUUGCAUGUACCUUACGAAAAAGGAUCGGCUAACUCAGUGCAAGCAACCGCGGUAAUA